GAGGAAUAUUGGUCAAUGGACGGAAGUCUGAACCAGCCAAGUAGCGUGCAGGAUGACGGCCCUAUGGGUUGUAAACUGCUUUUGUAUGGGGAUAAAGUUAGGGACGUGUCCCUAUUUGCAGGUACCAUACGAAUAAGGACCGGCUAAUUCCGUGCCAGCAGCCGCGGUAAUACGGAAGGUCCAGGCGUUAUCCGGAUUUAUUGGGUUUAAAGGGAGCGUAGGCUGGAGAUUAAGUGUGUUGUGAAUGUAGACGCUCAACGUCUGAAUUGCAGCGCAUACUGGUUUCCUUGAGUACGCACAACGUUGGCGGAAUUCGUCGUGUAGCGGUGAAAUGCUUAGAUAUGACGAAGAACUCCGAUUGCGAAGGCAGCUGACGGGAGCGCAACUGACGCUUAAGCUCGAAGGUGCGGGUAUCAAACAGGAUUAGAUACCCUGGUAGUCCGCACAGUAAACGAUGGAUGCCCGCUGUUGGUACCUGGUAUCAGCGGCUAAGCGAAAGCAUUAAGCAUCCCACCUGGGGAGUACGCCGGCAACGGUG
rnacentral:rRNA from 1 species